rnacentral:rRNA from 1 species
GACAGCUGCCAUAUCACCCUGCCACCCACUGAAGCUAGGUGUGAGCCUGGUCAGUACCUGGAUGGGAGACCUCCGGGGAAAAACUAAGGUUGCUGCUGGAA